rnacentral:rRNA from 1 species
CCUACGGGAGGCAGCAGUGGGGAAUAUUGCACAAUGGGCGCAAGCCUGAUGCAGCCAUGCCGCGUGUAUGAAGAAGGCCUUAUGGUUUUAAAGUACUUUCAGCGGGGAGGAAGGGAGUAAAGCUAAUACCUUUGCUCAUAGACGUUACCCGCAGAAGAUGCACCGGCUAACUCCGUGCCAGCAGCCGCGGACAUACGGAGGGUGCAAGCGUUAAUCGGAAUUACUGGGGGUAAAGCGGACGCAGGCGGGUUGUUAAGCCAGAUGGGAAAUCCCCGGGCUCAACCUGGGAACUGCAUUUGAUACUGGCAGGCUUGAGUGUCGGAGAGGUAGGUGGAAUGCGAGGUGUAGCGGUGAAAUGCGUAGAGAUCAGGCGGAAUACCGGUGGCGAAGGCGGCCCCCUGGACGAAGACUGACGCUCAGGUGCGAAAGCGUGGGUAGCAAACAGGAUUAGAUACCCGGGUAGUC